AGACAGGGAGCACAGGGGAAGGGUGCAGAUGUCCUGGCACAGGGAGUUGUGAGAUGAGGACAUCUGGGUGGUGACAGAGCCAAGACCACCCCCUGCAGCCACAAAGCCACCCCAGUGUCAUGCAGCCAACAGACAGCCCUCCCUCACUCACCUGGGUAGGACGGACAGCGUUGCCAUGAUAAGCAAAGAGAGAAAACACCUCCAAGGCACCCAGCACGACCCACCUCACCCCCUUGACAUGGGGAAGACCUCCUCACCAUGCACAGGGUGGGGUGGGGAGAAGAGGAGAUCUGCCCCUCCUCACACCUAAAUAUCCCCCAGGUGACCCUGCUGGGCCACAGCUGGAAGCAAAGCAUGGGGAGGGGAGGAGAGGUCUGGGUUUUAAUGGAUGUGGCCCUGCAAGCAGGGAGAGGGAAACAGCCCCAGGUGGGUGCAUUCAGGUAGAGAAUUAAUGAUGGAGACAGCGUGAGGGUUGAUACCUCAGCAAGGCAAUGGUCUCCUCCAUGCGUGUGCAGCUCCUAUUGCUGCUGUUGAAUCAUCUCUGUAAGUGCAUGAGGGAUAUGAAACGUUGCCCAAAAUAUGUUGAGAAAACCCAGAUCCAGGAACCUAAGAGUAAGGAUGCAAAGGAGGCACCCAGCAAACCCCAUAGCGACCCUCAGCAAAGAGACCCUGGGGAUAGAUGGGGGACACCUCCCCGGUUUCCCUCGAAGCAUUGCUGUGAAAUGCAGUUUGCUGCUGCACCACUGAUGCAGUGCCCCUUUGCAGAUGCUGCCAAGGAGUCACCAGGGCAAACCUCAGCGCUCUGCUUUGCACGAGGACAGCGGGCUGCCAGCAGUGCCCUGCUAUGGAGAGGCUGCCCUAUGGCCGAGCAACAGCACCGCAGCACUGAGAUGCUGAAGACAAAAUCACCACGAGCAGGAAAAAGCCUCCCCAGGACCUGGCAGGGCUGACUUUCUCCUGUUUCAAAGGCAGCGUGGGACAGAUGAGGGAGAUUUGCAUUCCCAGGCAAAUGGAAGUCCGG
rnacentral:lncRNA from 1 species